rnacentral:rRNA from 1 species
CAGUAGCCGCGGUAAUACGAAGGGGGCUAGCGUUGUUCGGAAUCACUGGGCGUAAAGCGCACGUAGGCGGACUUUUAAGUCAGGGGUGAAAUCCCAAGGCUCAACCUUGGAACUGCCUUUGAUACUGGAAGUCUUGAGUUCGGGAGAGGUGAGUGGAACUGCGAGUGUAGAGGUGAAAUUCGUAGAUAUUCGCAAGAACACCAGUGGCGAAGGCGGCUCACUGGCCCGAUACUGACGCUGAGGUGCGAAAGCGUGGGGAGCAAACAGGAUUAGAUACCCCUGUAGUCCCUGUCUCUUAUAC